AACGAACGCUGGCGGCAGGCCUAACACAUGCAAGUCGAGCGAACCCUUCGGGGUUAGCGGCGGACGGGUUAGUAACGCGUGGGAAUAUACCCUUUGGUACGGAAUAGCCUCGGGAAACUGAGAGUAAUACCGUAUGUGCCCUUCGGGGGAAAGAUUUAUCGCCAAAGGAUUAGCCCGCGUUGGAUUAGAUAGUUGGUGGGGUAAUGGCCUACCAAGUCUACGAUCCAUAGCUGGUUUGAGAGGAUGAUCAGCAACACUGGGACUGAGACACGGCCCAGACUCCUACGGGAGGCAGCAGUGGGGAAUCUUAGACAAUGGGCGCAAGCCUGAUCUAGCCAUGCCGCGUGGACGAUGAAGGCCUUAGGGUUGUAAAGUCCUUUCAGAUGGGAAGAUAAUGACGGUACCAUCAGAAGAAGCCCCCGGCUAACUCCGUGCCAGCAGCCGCGGUAAAGUAGACGUGU
rnacentral:rRNA from 1 species